GCUCCAAGGGAAUGGCACUGAAAACUC
rnacentral:piRNA from 1 species